UGGCCUAGAUCUAGCUAAAGUAUCGAGCUGAUUGAUUCUGGAUUUAUUAUGAAUAAUAAUAAAAACUGUCUGCAAGAGAACCAGAUACUGUGAGACUUGAGAACCUUCUUGAGCCUACACAAAACAUAAGUAAUCUUUUGAUUUCAUAUCAGCCCCUGCCAGUC